GAGACCUUUACUUUCUCCUUCUUUUUCAUCACUAACACAUGUUCCUCUCACAAAAAAUGGGUACUCGCAUUUACCAAAACAAACUGUGAGCUGCAUUGGCUUCAGUGGCACGCAUCACUGGAAUUCAUUGGCGCCCUCACUUCCUUUCGUGAAUUCGGCGGUCUGUUGAGUUGGUGAUUAGUUCACUUGGUCUAAUCAUGUCAGUACAGAACUAAAUAUCUGUUGAAAACUUGCCCGCUAUCUGAUAGAACUCCCUCCAAUGUUAUGUAGAAGGUAAACCUUGAUAGCUGGGCAGGUUGGAGCAUGGAGUGCAUAGCCUUGCUCGCGUCUGCUUAGGCCCUAUAAGCCGGUUCCGUGGGUAUUAGAUGCCCUGAGAGUGGAUGCAGGACACUUGAUUCGUCUGUCUGGUGUGUGCCAACUUCAAAGUGUAGAGACCCCAAGCAGAUGAGGCAUGGCUUAUUGAGAGGGGGCAGCUGGAAGAGUUGGCGACCCAACGACCUGGAACAUCAACACUUCAAACUUUUCAUAGGAGGUUUGAGCAUGCAGUGUACAGCCUUGCUCGUGUGUGAGAUGACUCUAUAAGCCGGUACCGCUGGUAUCAGUUCCCCUGAGAGGGGAUACAUGACUGGAUUCGUAAGUCGUUCUCUAGCACGAGACAGACAGAGAGACAUGCCAUAUCAAUCAUUUGGACACACAUAAUGCUACAUAUGUUGUUAGAACUUAGCCCCUGUAUGGAAGGCGCCUAUCUAGAACAAUAUUGCUCUCAUGCUCCGUUCUGCAUUUAGGGCUCAAAUCUGCAACACUCUGAUCAUCAUAUUGGCCCUGGACCUUUUCUUUUAGUAAGUAUUACUGUAUUAGAGUAACCAGAAUAUUUAGAGCGCUUUGAAGGAAACAAAUGGCAUCAAGGCAUUUAGGAUGAUUCUAGCCUGGCCAACAUCUAAAUAUAGGUCCUAGAUACUAGAUUGUUAUAUAUGUAGCAGAUGAAUUUUGAGUAGGAUAGGAUAUUCUGAGUUGACUGAUACUCUUUGACGUAUUUAGAUUUGAAAGACAUUCUUUGUCGUUGUAAGUAAAAAAGAUAUCACAUUGGACUUAAAAUGUACUCCCUCCGUUUGUUUUUAUAAGACGUUCAGACAACUUGCUUUGUGCUGUUUUUGAACAGUGUCUGAAAGUCUAAAACGUCUUAUAAAAACAAACAGAGGUAGUAUACGGUAACAUAAUUUUGUUGGUCAGGUAGGGUUAAAAAUGUUGAACAGAUUACCACCUCCAAUUAUGCCAUACAGCAUAGAGGUAAGCAGCUGUUGGAGGUCAUUGGCCUGUACAGUAUGUGGAUGGGCACAUGGCAUCUAAUAGUAGUUGCACUGUCCUAUAGUUGAACUAGUAAACAUUUGAUCUUAGCUGGCAUAUGGGUGAGUACUAGUACAAUGCAUGCAUGCUAGGCUCUGACCGUCUUGAUCAUGGAUGAUCUCUAUACAAGAAUAAAGGGUAACGCGGUGCAUGUGGUAACAACUGUUAACACUUACAAAUAUUCAGCAAGUGGAUGAAAACCAAACCGACCGGGCUAGAAGUCAACUGCUAACUCCAUAAAUACCACUAGUGCGGCAAUGGCCAACAUACUCCAGCAGGUGUGAGAAGCAGAAUUAGCGGCAGGCAACAAAAGCUCUCAUCAACUCCAGUAGAAGAAAGCCGUGCUGGAAAUAUGACGAUGGAGGCCACUCCUCUCCUGACUCCAUACAAGAUGGGCAAAUUCAACCUCGCGCACAGGGUUGUUCUUGCUCCUGUGACGCGGUGCAGGUCGUAUGGGAACAUGGCCCAGCCGCACAAUGCGCUGUACUACGCGCAGAGGGCGGCGCCGGGCGUCGUCCUCAUCGCAGAGGCCAGCGCGGUGUCGAAGAUGGCACCAAGGUACCCGCCCGUGCCCGGCCUGUGGAGCCAGGAGCAGGUGGAGGCCUGGAAGGCUGUAGUCGAUGCCGUGCACGCCAAGGGCGCCCUCUUCUUCUGCCAGAUUUGGCAUACAGGCAGCGUCUCGCCCACUGGGUUGGACGCCCCUCAGGGUUGGAAGCACAGGAGAUACCCCGAAUGGUGAAUGACUUCCGCACUGCUGCAAGAAAUGCCAUCAAAGCCGGUUUCGACGGUGUGGAGAUUCAUGCCACCAAUGGGUUGCUGAUCAACCAGUUCUGGUGGUUCAUAGAUAACGAAAGGUCCAACUCUCAGCCUCUACAACGCCGUGACCAGCUCAUCAAGGCCAUCGCCGGUUUGCCACCGAGACCAUCACCGCCGUUGCUGACGAGGUGGGUGCGCACCGCCAUGGCGUGCGCCUCUCCCCAGUAGCCGACUACGACUCGGACCCGGAGGCGCUCCCACUGCACGUGGUCCGCCUCAUGAACGAGCUCGGCGUCCUCUACUGCCACAUGGUGGAGCCGAGGAACGGGACCCUGUGCAGCCUUCUGCCUUUCAGGAAGGCGUUCAAAGGUACAUUCAUCGUGAACGGGGGUUACGACAGGGAGGGAGGAGAUGUGGCUGUCGGCGAUGGCUAUGCCGAUCUGGUCUCGUACGGGCGGCUCUUCCUGGCGAACCCCGACCUGCCGGAGCGGUUCAGGAAGAGGGCGGGCCUGAACGAGUAUGACCGGAGCACGUUCUACACCUCCGAUCCGGUGGUCGGCUACACGGACUACCCUUUCCUUGCUCAGGGGCAGGGGACACGAGUUAGCUAAUUGACCUCCGAUCCCGCCGGCCACACUUGUUCAAGGGUGUCAGUUGUUCUUGAUUCAGAUCAUCAGGCGAGUCGAGAUCAACUAGCUUGACGGUGUGCAGAUUGCGCGACUAGAUUUGUCGUAGCCGUCUUUUGUUAUUUGAGUGCCAAUGGUUGCUCGGCGAGUUACUUGUUUCUCAGGUUAUUGUUUUCAGUGCUGGCUAAACGUAAUCCUGUGAAAAAAACACUCCAAGUUGUCUAGACUUGAUACUUCUGUGCAACUCUCUGGUUUAACUCAAUAGAGUUCCAGUAGUA